GCCCCCCAAUCCCAGCGCCGCUCCUCCGGCUGCCCCAUAGCGCCGCUCCGGGGGGUCAGAGGUCACGGCGGGUGGGGGGGGGGGGGGGUCACGGGGUCACGGCGCGGUCACGUGGGUGGCACCGAUGGGACGGAGGGGGGGGAGGGGAGGAGAGGGGAGCACAGAUGUGGGGCGGAGUCAUUGAUGGGGGGGGAUGCAGCUGUGGGGCAGGGAUGGAUGUAUGGGGCACGGAUGCAUCUAUGGGGCAGGGAUGGAUCUGUGGGGCAGAGAUGCAUCUGUGGGGCAGUAAUCUAUGGGGCAGGGAUGCAUCUGUGGGGCAGGGAUGGAUUUGUGGGGCAGGAAUCUAUGGGGCAGGGAUGCAUCUGUGGGGCAGGGAUGGAUCUGUGGGACAGGGAUGGAUCUAUGGGGCAGGGAUGGAUCUGUGGGGCAGGGAUGGAUCUGUGGGGCAUGGAUGCAUCUUUGGGCAGGGUUGUAUCUGUGGGGCAGGGAUGGAUCUAUGGGGCAGAGUCGCAGCCCUUACCCCCGCCCCACUCAACUUCCGUUCCUUCCAAUGCCACUUCCGCCCUUCUCGAGGCCUAUUUGGGAACCACUUCCGCCCUUUCCUUGCACGUUCGCCCUUAACUCCACCCACUUCCUUCACUUCCGCCCUUAACUCCACCCACUUCCUGCACAUCCGCCCUUAAUCCCGUCCCUUCCGCCGCUCUCCACCAAUCCCUGCGUCGUUAAGGAGCACCAAUCCCCCAUUGGUGGCCGCAGUUCCUCAUUAAAGACCCCAACGCAUCAUUAAAGAUCGCAAUUCCUCAUUAAAGGGCCCCAAUCGUUUAUUAAAGAGCUCCAAGACCUCAACUUUCGGUCUUCACUCUCACCUCCGCCCCUAACCCUACCCCUUCGCCCUCACUUCCGCCCCUAAUUGCUCCAUCCAACCCGACUUCCGCCCUUCUCUACCCACACAUCCGCCCCAGGCCACGCCCCUUCCCCCUCCAGGCCCUCGUUCCGGCGCAAACCCCGCCCCUUCCGGCGCUCUCCACCCUAUCCUCAUUUAAAGGUCCCAGUCCUGUAUCUAAAAACCCUGAGCACCACAACUUCCGGCCUUCGUCCUCAGUUCCGCCCUUAGUUGCUCCAU
ensembl:lncRNA